rnacentral:rRNA from 1 species
GUAGGUGGCAAGCGUUGUCCGGAAUUAUUGGGCGUAAAGCGCGCGCAGGCGGUCCUUUAAGUCUGAUGUGAAAGCCCACGGCUCAACCGUGGAGGGUCAUUGGAAACUGGGGGACUUGAGUACAGAAGAGGAAAGCGGAAUUCCAAGUGUAGCGGUGAAAUGCGUAGAGAUUUGGAGGAACACCAGUGGCGAAGGCGGCUUUCUGGUCUGUAACUGACGCUGAGGCGCGAAAGCGUGGGGAGCAAACAGGAUUAGAUACCCUGGUAGUCCACGCCGUAAACGAUGAGUGCUAAGUGUUAGGGGGUUUCUGCCCCUUAGUGCUGCAGCUAACGCAUUAAGCACUCCGCCUGGGGAGUACGGCCGCAAGGCUG